rnacentral:lncRNA from 1 species
AUGGCUGGGGGCAUGUGGGGCCCUGCCCGUGGGGCCCCCGUGGGGGCCCUGACCCUGACAGCCCUGGCUGAAGGGAUCCGGGCCAGCCGGGGGCAGCCCACGGGACCCCCUGCCCCAGGCCCUCAGCCCCAGCCUGAACCUGAACCUGCCGUGGCGGAGCCCGGGAGGGCAACCACCAUCCCCACGGCUGGCGGUGAGCCCCUCUCCCCGCCCCUUCCCCAGGAGCCAGCCCCCGAGGGGCCCCAGCUGAUUCCCCGGAGCUCCUGGGAGGAGGGGGCCCUCGCAGACCUGGCCAUGUACACCGCCACCUGCCUGGAAGAGGCUGGCUUUGUGGGAACCCAGGAGACAGCGCUCACCCUGUCCUCAGCCCUGGAGGCGCGGGGGCACAGGCUGGAGGACCAGGUGCAUGGGCUCGUGCGGGGGCUGCUGGCGCAGGUGCCCCACCUGGCAGAGGGGCGGCCCCGGCGGGCGGCGCUGCGGGUGUUGAGCGCGCUGGCUCUGGAGCACUCCCGGGACGUGGUGUUCGCACUGCUGCGCUGCUCACCGGCCCCGGACCGAGCGGCCGCUGAGCUCUGGCGCAGCCUGAGCCGGAACCAGCGUGUGAACGGACAGGUGCUGGUGCAGUUGCUUUGGGCGCUAAAGGGCUCAGCCGGAUCCCAGCUGGAGGCGCUGGCGGCCACUCGCGCCCUUGGGGAGAUGCUGGCUGUGUCCGGCUGCAUAGGUGCCACCCGAGGCUUCUACCCGCACCUUCUCCUGGUGCUGGUCACUCAGCUCCAUGAGCUGGCAUGGGACUCACACCCCCCCGACACACCCAAGGUUUGGGCUCCAUCUCACCGAGGGCCACCACAUAGUCAUGCCAGCUGCACCUUGGAGGCCCUGAAGGCCCUGCUCUCUGGGGAUGGAGGCCGCAUGGUGGUAACGUGCAUGGAGCAGGCUGGAGGCUGGAGGAGACUGGUGGGAGCCCGCACCCACCUGGAGGGUGUCCUGCUGCUGGCCAGUGCCCUGGUGGCCCACGCCGACCACCACCUGCGAGGCCUGUUCGCUGACUUGCUGCCGCGGCUGCGCAGCACAGACAACGCACAGCGCCUGACGGCCAUGGCCUUCUUCACCGGGCUGUUGCAGAGCCGGCCCACUGCGCGGCUCCUGCGGGAGGAGGUGAUCCUGGAGCGGCUCCGCGCCUGGCAGGGCGACCCUGAGCCCACCGUGCGCUGGCUGGCCCUGCUGGGCCUCGGCCACCUGGCGCUGAACCGCGGGAAGGUGCGCCACGCGACCACGCUGCUGCCCGCGCUCCUCGGCGCGCUGGGCGAGGGUGACCCGCGGCUCGUGGACGCCGCGCUGGGGGCGCUGCGAAGGGUCCUGCUGCGGCCGCAGGCGCCCGUGCGGCUCCUGAGCGCGGAGCUGCGGCCACGCCUCCCACCGCUCCUGGACGACGCCCGGGACUCGGUCCGCGCCUCCGCAGUCGGGCUGCUCGGGACGCUGGUGCGGCGCGGCCGGGGCGGGCUCCGGGUGGGGCUCCGCCGCCCCCUGCGGAAGCUGGUGCUGCAGUGUCUCGUUCCGCUGCUGUUGCGCCUGCACGACCCCAACCCAGACACCGCUGAGAGCUCCGAAUGGACCCUGGCCCGCUGUGACCAGGCCCUGCACUGGGGCCUGCUGGAGGAGAUGGUCACGGUGGCCCACUACGACAGCCCUGAGGCCCUAAGCCGCAUCUGCCACCGCCUGGUCCAGUGGUACCCGAGUCAUGUGCCCAGCUUCCUGAGCCAGACCCAGGGCUACCUAAGGAGCCCUCAGGGCCCCCUGCGCCGGGCGGCCGUCCUGCUCACAGGCUUCCUGGUCCAUCACUCCAGUCCCAGCCACGUCAACCAGGACCUGCUGGACUCUCUGUUCCAGGACUUGGGGCGGCUGCGGAGCGACCCUGAGCCCGCUGUGGCGGCGGCAGCACACGUGUCUGGCCAGCAGGUGGCGUUGCUGGCCCGCGCGCAGCCCCAGCCCUACGGCUGGAGCCUCCGGCACCUCCCCCGCCCCGGCCGGCCCCGCCCCCGGCCGGCCCGGCCCCCGCCCGUCUACGCCCGCAGCCCGUUCCAGCACCGCAGCCUCCCCGGCCGCUGGGGCUGUUCAGGUCCAGGCUGAGCUAACCCGCCGGCCCUCCAAUGGGAGCCACGGUGCUGACUCGGGCUCCCUGCUCUGUGGCCUGUCUUGGCUAGGGGGCAGAUCUGCAGAAGAGGUCCGCCUUGAGGGGCACCCUGGGCAUAGUGCUGGGCACCAAUGCCUGUCCCCCACCCCGGCGGGUCUCUGCACAGUCUGCUGCACACAAAGACCCCCCACCCCGACAGCCCUGUGACUAGAUGGACCACCAGUUUCUGACGCAGCACCUUCACCCUCAGCUUCUCGCUUCAUCCACCUCUCGGUCCGUCUGUCCCCCAGCAGGCCUGUGCCUCUCCCAGCCCCUUGGCAUGUGCCCUGCCUGGAUGGCGCCUGGCCUUCUGGGACCAGGCCGGGUGGGGACACGGAAGUGGGUGCAGCCCUGGGAGCCAUCCCCGUGAAAGGCUGCCUCUGCUGGCCACGUGCUGGCUGGGAGGUUCUGAGGUUUCCGGUCACACCCUCCCUGCUCAGGAAGCACCCGUCUGGCCUCCUGUCCACACCCACUGCCCAGCAGCCUGGCCCCAUUCCUGCCCCUCCCCUCUAGCUCACUGUCUCAGACCCCUGGGGUCUUCUCUGGACGCGGCCCCCGACUUCCCACUGGACACCGCAGGUCUGAGAUGAUGCCUGCGGGCUCAGGUGUUGGGUGCCAGCAUCUGCCCCUCACCAGGCUGAGCUGUCACACCCGCAUCCCGGCACCUGCUCAGGGCCGGGUGAGGGAAGAGGUCCCUCAGGACUGCUCCAAAGCAGUGACCCAGGCUCUCCAGAUCUGGGACGAGUGGCUUCUGCCACCUGGAAUGCCCACCCUGAAGUGUCCUCUUGCCUUUUCAGAGCCCCAAAAGCUGCCUCCUCAGAGAAGGAGGCCUCCACUCACACAGCCUCUUGGAGGCUGGGGUCGGUCCUGCCCAUCCCAGUGGAAAGCAUUUGAAAUAAAGAUAUAGCCGGACAUCGCUGGUGGUCCA